GCUACUGCACCAUCUCGCUGAUCAAUAAAGAAUAGAAAUCAACUAGAACAAGGCCAGUGAGCUCCAAACACAGACUGAGGGCGUGGAGAGACAUUUCACGGAAGAAGGAAUACAAAUGCUCUUGAAUAUGGGGAAAGGUCCUUAACCUCAAUUCUAAGAGUUGAACUAUAGGGAGACAUGGUUCUCAUUGUCGGAUCGGCAGACAGGGAAGCAUCUGGCCAGCAGCCCCUGUGGCGAGGGGCAGUUAUUCCGGGGGAGCGGCUCGGAUGGAGAGGGAGGAGGUGGGAGCACGGUCACCCCUGGUGCACUCUUCACCCGCACUCACCGCCUGGGGAUUCACUCUGUGGCUCCACAGUACAUGAAGUGAGAUUAACACAGGCCAUUCAGGAAGCACUCCGGUGUCCUUCGAGAGCCAGAUAAUGCAACCGGGGUGCCUCGCUCAGCGGAGUACGGCGCGGCUGACCCCGGAAGUGCUCUGGACUGAGCGAGGAGCCCCAGAGUGCGCAUGGGAGCCGGGUGCAGAAUGCUGCAGCGUGUGACGCCUUCUGCACACCUUGCGGGGAGGGGAAGUAAAUAAAUUCGAGAAACACUGCACAGACACAGAAGAAGAGAACAGAGGGGCUAGGGGUUAGCUCAGUGUGCAGGGCCUGCCUGGCAAGCGUGCGGUCCUAAGUUCGAUUCCCAGUACCCCCACUCCCUGAAAAAGGAAAUGCACAGCAGUUGUUAGCCCUUGUGGGGAGGGCGGCAGUGGGAUGGAGGCACGGGUGCGGGCAUAAGACCUGGCACAUCUAUUCUCUUUUUUAUUCUUUUAGCUUAUGAACCACGAGUGUGUCUACUUCUUAUAAAUAAUUUUAAUUAGAUAAAGGCCCCAGCUUUUGCUUCCUGCUUCCAUUUUGCCCGGCACCCAUUUGUCUGGUGCUGCCCCCUGCCCUGAAGCCCCUCCUCGUGCCCAGGGAGCUGUGGGAGCUGCCCUCCCCUAUCUGACUGCCGGCCCAGGGGAAGAUGGCCCCUCGGGAAGCCCCCCAGACAGCUGCCUGUCCUGCAGAACCAGCCCAGAGGCAGCGGAGCCCCAGCAGUCACGGAGGGCCAGGGAGCACAGGACUCCAGGGAGAGCAGCUGGCUUGGAGCUCGAGGCAGCAGGAGGGCUGUGCUGGAGCCUGAGGUGCCCAUGCUGUCAUGCGGCGUUGGAAGGGGUGAGUGGAGGAUGGGCACAGGAGCUCCCUCCCGGGUGGCAGCCACGAGCCCCCCUCCCUGUGCUCUGGGCCUUUGGGAAACGGCGCUUUCCUCGCAGCUGCCCUCUGGACGGGCGCCCACAGAGCGCUGGGAGCGAGCGUGUAUCAGAUGUGUCAGAAGCAGUGAGUGCUGGAAAGCGCCGUCGGCACACUGGCGGAUAAGAUGUGCCAGGCUCCUGGGAAGGCACAGAGCUCAGGAGGAAGCGGGGAGUCUGGCAAACGGGCAGCUCCUCCGCAGCGGCCCCAGUGUGAGCAGCACUGAUCCGGCUCUGCAGGGGGACACAGAUCCACGGGGCUGGCGAGCUGGGGGUGGCGGCAGCAGAGCCCGAGGUCUUGGCAGGGAGAAGUGGCCUUGAGAGAGGCCAGUGGGGGCAGGAGGAGCGGCGAGCAGCGGGGCAGAAGCGGGUGAGCAGCCCCAGGGCUGCGGAGCUGGGGCCACCCUGGGCUUCCCGCCAGGACGGGGUGGUGGGGGGCAGCCAGAGCCAGCCUGGGGCGGAAGGUGAGCUUGUGCCGUGGCCCCCAGGAGGCUGGACCAGGGCUCCUGUGUGUCCGCUUGGAAACACCCCAGGGAGCGUGCCCCUAGCCCGGCAUCUGCCUGAGUUGGAGCAUCCGGCCCGGUGGGAGCCUCCCCGGUCUGUUUUCAGCGCGGCCCUGUUUGACCAGAGACAUGGCCGCACUGUCUCCUGGUCGUUGUCCUUCACCCCACGCCCUUCACUGACCACAGCUCUCACCGCCGGGGGAGGAGGAGGAGGGGAGCGUGGCGGUCGUCCUCAUCCUCUCUGUGGGCUCCGGCACGCUCCUCGUCCGCCCGGACUUCUCCUGAACCUGCUCGGCUGGCUGUGGAUGACGGAGGGUCUUUCCUACCUCCACCAGCCUCGGCCGCCUGCCUCAUCCUGCUCGCAGCCCCUCCCUCUGUCCGCGGCCGUGCGCCCGGGUCCUCUCCCACCCCUUGCUCUUCCUUCCCCUCCUGCAGCAACCGUGCCUCAUGUGUGUGUCGUGGCUGCAGCCUCCCCUGCCCACGCUACCCGCCCCGCCACAGGCGCCUGCGCUCCCGAAGCCCCUCUGCCCCAGCCUCUCCGCCUCCUCAGCUCUUGCGUGUCCCCAGGUCCCAGGGCCUCGCACGCGGCCUGCACAGAGGCGGCUGGUGGUGCGCUGACUUCGCAGAAGGGUUCGUUCUGCCCUUCUUAGGGAAAGACCUGUCACAGCGAGCCCGGAGCAGAGAGGCGGGGACCCCAGCCGCGUCACUUCUAACGCCCGUGGUCCCACCCUGCAGUCCUGAGCUCCGGGCCUCCACUGCAGGCGACCCUGCUCGGUUCCUCUCUAGAGCAAGCUGGGAAGAGAGACGUCCCGGACGGCGGGUGGUGGACGUGCUUCGGAAGCGCGCGUGAUCCUUGUUCUGUUCCCUGCUCGAAGUCCCCCGGCCCCAAGCCACUUUGCUUUCUUCUCUUCCCUCUUCCCCCUUCCUCUCUCCCUCCUUCCUCUGUAAUUCUUUAGGUCGUGCUUUCUAACUCAUUUUUAAAAACUUGCCUAUAUAAAGCCUUUUUGGAUCCCAGCCUGUUUCUUGAGGUGUUACUAGAGCUUAUACAGACAAAGGAGUUUUGCAGCCGCAUAAAUUGGUGAUCUAAGCAAGCGUUCAUCAGGCCUCCUGCUGGCCAGAGAGAAACCUUGAGAAGCUGCUGCACCUUUAAUCCAGAGCAGGACUCCAGGGCUGUGGAGCAGGCUGUCCCUGCCCCCUGCCUUCCCUCGGCCUGGCCAGGCAUCUCUGGGCUGCCCUCCCCGGGAUGCUCUGGCAGCGGCUCCCGCUCUGCCCGCCUCCUCCCUGCUGCCUGGCACCCGAACGCUCCAGGUGGUGGUGCAGAGCUCCUUGUGCACUGUCGCCCUGCUGCGUCCCUACCCGGACAGGUGACGCAGCCCACUGGUAUUUCCUGCCAGUCUUCCCGUGUACAUAUAUGUCACGUAAGAUUUUGUGUAUGAUAUUUCUCAAAGCACAGAAGGCCUUUUGGGUUAAACUCUGGAAUGAACAACAAGGCAUUUGAAAGCCACAUUUUAGCUGGCCUGGAGAUCUUUUCUUCCCCCAUAUAUACAGGCCCAUGUAAUGGUUUGCAAGCAUGUGAGGACCUUAGCCCAAGGACCCUGCAGAGGUCCCGGACUUCAGGGCUGCUGCAGGAGCUGGGUGGGGACCCGGGACAGCAGGCGAACGUCCCUCUUUUGUGUCUGACAUUUUCUGCCAGACAUGCAGUUGGUUGGAAGUCUUCUGAGGCUGACAUAUGUUCAAAAACUGCAAAUCCAGACCACUCAUUUCAUUUACCAGAUUUAAAACAAAUGACAAACAACAAACAAGCAGCUCCCAGAGACCUCGGCGGAGAAGCGGAUUGCAUGUCACGAGCAGUCACACCUCGGGAUGGCGGCCCUGGAACCCGGGUUUCUGCCACACCAUCUAACACGCGUUCUCCCUGCGUUUGAUCGCUUCUGACUCAGCCUCUUCCAAAGAGAGGGGUAACAGCGUGGGGCAGACAGCAGCGGAGGGAGCCUGGUGGGUCGGCCGACAGAGGAGAGGUGGACGGGAGCCCGUCUGUCCCCGCAGGCUCUGCAUCACCCCAGCACUCAAGCUCGAGGCCGCAAGUGUGAAGACCUGAAUGUGUAGUGAGCGCCGCCGUGCCCGAGUAACUCAGGAGUCUCAGCGCGGCGUCUAGUCGCCAGCGAGCCGAAGGCGCAGUCGGUGCUCUGUGCAUCGGUGACGGCGGCUCCUCGGCAAGUCCCGGAGCGGCUGUGACGGCGGAGGCGAGGUGCCUGCGGCUGGGGUGGCCGCCUGCUGCCGUGCUGUGCGUCACCUGCGUGCCCCGUGCUCUGCAGCACAGUGGUGCAGCAGAAGCCCAGGGACUCGCGAGGGUCCCAUGAUGCCCAGCGGGAGAACCAGGAGGAAGUCAGCCUGUGUGAUCCCACUGGAACCCCGAAAUCCUCCCGAGUGAGGGCUGCGGUUCCUUUGUCACGGCUGAGUCCUCUGUCUGGGGAAGGUCACCCACUUGGAAUCUUCCAGCCCUUAUUCCUCUCCUGAAGUCCUGCUGGUCAAGCCGCUCCGAACCAAGCACAGAGGCGGGGUCCCCUCAGCUUUGUGAGUAUGUGCAUGAGGGUGACGGGGUGGGCGCCAUUCGGGGAGUGGGACAGGCACCCUUCAGGGACCACACUCAUGCCAUCUGAGAGCGCACCGGAGGUCGUUCUCUUCUCGGAAGGCCCUGCUGCCUUGGGUGUGGGAGGGGCCCGAAGGUGGCCUUCAGGGUCUCCCUCACCGAAGAGGGUCACCUCCCAGACCUGGUGGGGUGUGCGGACGAAUCAGGUCUGGAGCCUGCAGUGGAGUCGGCCGAGGCUGCACAGUGGCUGAGCUCCUCCCACAGCCCACGCUUCCCCGGGUGUGGACCCUCAGCUGCCCCCAGCAAACUCCCUGCCUGCUGAGCGCCCAGCCUGCGUCACGUGUAAAGCAGGCCUGGCUGGGAAUCCUCGAGACUGCUACGGCUUUGCCUGAGAGUCAGGGACACACGGACACGCCUGCCACGCCUGAGCUCUGUCGCACACAUUCAUGAUGGAAAGAAAGGAUAAAAGGAGGUCCACGAGCCCCGGGUGAAGGAUUCCUGAUUUAGAGGAAAUUUGGAAGAAAAAGAAAAAGAAGAAAAAGGGCUGAUGAAAGAAAGCGUCCGUGUUCUCCAGCAGGGAGCAGAGUCCUUGUUUAUCGCGUCUGCUGCCAGGUACCCAGAACCUGGCACAACCCUGCGUCCCGAACGUACCCAGUGAGCGCGUCAGAAAUGAGGGCGGAAUCGGUGUAAUUCUGCUUGUGCAUGUUUUAGCCACUACGGAACCGAUGAAAGUCUU